CACUUCUGUUAAGGCUCUUCCAAGCACUGCAGCAUGAAGAUGCAUCAGGUAUCUAUGCACAGGGGUCUCAGAAGGACAGGAUGAAGUUCAGACAUAUUCACCCCUCAUACACCAAAGCAGCUGAAAGGUUCCUGUUACACAGCUGAUGCUUGUGCCCCUGCAUCUUACAGAAUAAAGAGAUGAGGACUGCAUACCGAAAGGUUAUUAACCAUCCGCUUUGACCAUCAGAGGGAAACACAGUAUGUGUAGAGCCUACACAUGGUGAUGAAGUCAAAUCUCUCCUGACUGCUCUCAGAGCGUGGCUGUCCUGCUUACCCCCAACAAGCUUGAGUUUUUUCUAGAAGCACAAUAAUAAUCCAGAUAAUAGACAAAAGCACUCCUCCUGUCUGGUUCCACUGAGUCCUCCCUCCAGUCCCUCAAGGAGUAAGACAUCCUUCUGUCUCUCAAUCACACUGGGACUGGCCCACUGCAAUCAGAAGAAAUGAUUUGACCUUCAAUUCAGUGAGCUGAUCCUCUAAUGUACGGCACAUUUUCUCCAAAUUAGCCUGUGAAGGCAAACCUUUACCAUCCCUAUUCUUUAUCAAUAGAGGAAAAUCAUCCCAACAUGCAGCAAGGAAAAAAAAAUUCCCUGAUGCCAAUUCCCAUAUUGUGGAAUACAGAAGUUGGAUCUGAAGUCUCAAUCUUAUGUAACAAUCAGAUGUGUCCCUGGAAAGCUGAGAUGAUCCAGAAGCAUCAGUUUUAUAGCAGAUGUCAAGCACGAAGGGAGGAACUUUGCCAUGGUAUUUGAUGAUUUUACUGCCUAAGACUAGAGAAUUCACCUCCGCACCAGACCUAUGCCACAUACAAUGUCACAGCCCAGUCAGUACUACACUAUGCCCUUUCUAUAAUCGUUACAAAGCAACCAAUUAACUUUUCACAAGCUAAGCUCUGUGAAUUCUGUGUAGCUGGGAGUCUUUUUUUUAAUUAGAAUUCUUACUAACCACCUAUCUAUCAUUCACAUGUUUAUCAACUCCGUUUUAUAACUCUACUGUGAGGUAGGUUAGGCUGGAAGUGAGUGACUUACCCAAGGCCAUCCAAACUGCAUGGCUGAAUGGGAAUUUGGACAUGACUACCUCCCAAAGCCUAAUCCAACACUAUGACCACUAAAGCACAACUUCGAACAUGUGGUUAAUUUAUACUGCAGGCUACUAGUUUCUGUAUCCUAAGAUGGCACUAUUUGCACAGACUGACUCUUUCAUGAAUGGUCAGGCUCUAUAAAGCAGCUGCUUAUUAAAGUACAUAAACUUUACAUACAAAUAUAUCCAUUUACACUUAAAAUCCAAAGACUUCUAACAUUAGUGGGCAAGUUACUUCUUCCAGUUUGAAAUCUUGUCCUUACAAAUAAAAUUGGGAAAGCUUUUCUGAGUAUUGUGGGGAAAAAUUGGCAUAUUUUUCACCAUAUAAAAUUAUUUCCAAGGUUGAAUGUGGCUUUAAGACCACAGAUUAGCCACAUCUGCCACAAUCAAGGCAAUAAGGUAAUAUGCUUUAAAAGUACACAUACACAUAUAUGGAAAUUGGCAAAGCAGAAAUUAUUAUUUUGUGUCUUUCUUCAACAAAAGGGCAUAGGAUUUAGCAACACAGUUCUGGCUUGUUUGCCACCUGAUAUGCUUCUGUGGAUGACAGCACUGAACUAUUACAAUUGCCAUCCUAAAAUAAACUAUGAUGGAUACAAACCAUUUUACAGCAUUUAUUUUAAUGACACAGUCACCCAUCUGUAGGGUUACCAGGUUUCCCACUACAGUGGGUAGGAUUGCCAGGACCCUCCUGGCAAUGGGAAGAUCUUGGGGGGCAAAUACUUAAAACAGUGAUUGGGUGUACAGGCAAUGACAUCACUUCUCACUCAAUCCUCCCUACCAAGCCGGCCAGGGUCUCCCGUCUCAAGGUCAACUCAAGAAAGAAAGUGGGGGAGGGGGAGAAAGGCUUUUAUUACUGCUUACAAAAACACUGCUGAUAUCCAUCACUGAGGAUCCCUUCAACACAGCCUGGCACUACUCGGCUCCCUGCAUGCAAGAUUUCCAUGUAAGAGAGCCCUCACUCUGAAAAUCUGCAAAUGGAUUAUUUACAUAAACAACCUGGGGCUAAACCAGGGGCCUCCCUAUGCCUACCCCACAGGGCUGUUGUAAGCAAACGGUCCAGUAGCCAUACUCAAGGUGGUGCCCCAUUAGAGAAUGGGGAAGGCCCCAGUGUUGAAGAAUAGCCAUCAUCCCACACACAUCCUGAUCAUCCCCCACCCCUUUUGGCUCACCUUCUUCUACUCAUCGACCAGUUGAGUGUCGGCAGGCAGCUGCAGGAAUCAAUGGGCAACGGCCUGCCAUAAGCAAGCACUGGGAACUCUAAUAGUUCUAGACUACUGUUAAUCUGGUUCAUUUCCCCUCUGUCACCUCCUGCCAUUUUCACCCUCCAUUUUCUAUUUUUUUCCCCACCAGCCUUUGAGGCACCAGUGAAAAAAUGGCUGUCUCCAAUGGAUUAACAAUGCUAUAGUACACUACUUGAUUUUAUCUUGUGCAAUGUAAUUAUUUGUUAUGUUUUAUGAAUUGAUUUUAUACUGGGACAGAAUAUAAUUUUACAUUAUAUUGUGCAGGAUGGUUCUGAAGUCCUGAUAACUUAUUUCUUCUUUAUACUUCAUGGGAUCUGUCAAUAAAAUAGUACUUAGUACCCUCGACAUGCCCCUGUGAUCAUGUUAGGGUAGACACUGCAACAAAAAGACAGAACAAGCAACAAGUUGCAUUGACUUGAGAAAAAGGAGUGGAACAAUGGAGAAGAGGUCCAGAGUAUUGUUGAA